UUGCAGCGGGCGCCGUACCAUGCAGUCGAGCGGAUGCACGGAGCUUGCUCCUGCAUGCACGACCAGACGGGUGAGUAAUGCCUAUGACUCUGCCUGUGACUGAGGGAUAACGUCAGGUAACGGACGCUAAUACCGCUAACGUCCUGAGGGAGAAAAUGGGGGAUCUUCACCACCUCACCCUCUCGCAUGAGCCUAUGCCGGAUUAGCAAUAUGGUGGGGUGGGGCCUACCCUCGCCUCGAUCACUAUCUGGUCUGAGAGGAAGAUCAUGCCCACUGGAACUGAAACUCAGACCAGACUCCUACUCCUGGCAGCGGUGGGGAAUAUUGAUAUUGGGGCGAAAGCCUGAUCCUGACGUGCCCCGUGUGUGUGUAAGGACAUCGGAUUGUAAAUGACUUUCACUUUCGAGGAAGGGGAAGGUGUUGAUACCUUGAUGUUUUGACGUUGCCAUCACACUAAGAACAGGCUAACUUCAUGUCAGCGCCCGCGGUAAUACUAAGGGUGAGGGCGUUAAUCUUAAUUACAGUUACGUAAAGCGCGCGCAGGUGGUUCGGUUUUUGGAUGUGAUGCCCCGGGCUGGCCUGGGAUGGCAUUGCAACUACUGAGCUAGAGCUCGGUCAGGGAGGGGGGAAUUCAAUUCCAGUGUGCAUGAAAUGUAUAAGAUCGAACACCAAUACCCGAGGCGACCGCCUGCCCCUGAUACUGACACUGAGGUUCAGGUGCGAGAGGAGGAAAAAGAAUUAGAUUACUGGUCUGGUAGCCGUAGCUGAUGUCCAUCUCCCUUUGGAGAUCCGUGAAAUUGAGUUGGGUCUCCUGACGCUAUCG
rnacentral:rRNA from 1 species